UGAAGACCAAAACCCCAACGUAGAAAGAUGGGGAGAGUGAAAUCAGAAACAUCCAAGAAUGGACCUUGCUUUCAGAAGAAAUAACAGUUUGCAGUUAGCAUUAUAUGCUUUGGGUAAUUAAUUUCAUAAGUCAAGGUGUUAAGCUAGCAUUCCCAAACUGAAUCCUGAGGAAUUCUUGGAAUAUUAUAUAAGGAAAGAAGAAUCCUAUGGUCAAAAUACCUGAGAAACCUUAAACUGAGCAGAAUAAAAUCUUCUCCCUAAAUGAGAGAAAAUAAGGAAGAAUUGAGAAUAAGCCCAAAGGGAUAUACAAAACCAACAAAUUCCUGUUUUCCUGUUGGUGGAAGUGUUUUUAACAAAACUAGUUUCGAUGGUCUGAAAACAAGAGAGAAGGCUCUGAGCAUGCUGCUUCGCCAUGAAUCCUAGGACCCAAGAAUAUCUGGAAUACAAGACAGAGAACUGGAGCUCAGCAGAUUAACUGGCAUUUGCACAAUGGUCUUUAAGUUGCUAAUUCUUGGUGAAGGGAAAGAAGACUUAAAAUCGGCUAAUUUGGGGCUGUUGUUGGUUAACGCCAACAUAUUUGUGUCAGGAGUCAGGAAAGGAUUAACUUUCCACUUGAUCUGUGGAUGUGCCUGAGGGGCAGCGAAGUUUUGAAGGAAACAGACCAUUGGAGGAUUUGUGUUUCGCUCCAUCAGUUUGGACCUAAGAAUCUAAGAAGACGCUUGUAGCACCGUCUUUCCUCUUAGCAGAUUUUUUGCUCUGAAUCAUCGCAACAUGUAAAGCCCUGACACCUAGGAUAUCCUGAGGGGGAAAG